GGGCCGGUAGCUUAGCUUGGUAGAGCGCCUGACUGAAGAUCAGGCGGUCGAGGGUUCAAAUCCCUUCCGGCCCG
rnacentral:tRNA from 1 species